AGAGUUUGAUCCUGGCUCAGAUUGAACGCUGGCGGCAUGCUUUACACAUGCAAGUCGAACGGCAGCACGGGCUUCGGCCUGGUGGCGAGUGGCGAACGGGUGAGUAAUACAUCGGAACGUACCCAGAAGUGGGGGAUAACGCAGCGAAAGUUGCGCUAAUACCGCAUACGUUCUACGGAAGAAAGUGGGGGAUCUUCGGACCUCAUGCUUUUGGAGCGGCCGAUGUCUGAUUAGCUAGUUGGUGGGGUAAAGGCUCACCAAGGCGACGAUCAGUAGCUGGUCUGAGAGGACGACCAGCCACACUGGAACUGAGACACGGUCCAGACUCCUACGGGAGGCAGCAGUGGGGAAUUUUGGACAAUGGGCGCAAGCCUGAUCCAGCAAUGCCGCGUGAGUGAAGAAGGCCUUCGGGUUGUAAAGCUCUUUUGUCAGGGAAGAAACGGCUCCGGCUAAUAUCCGGGGCUAAUGACGGUACCUGAAGAAUAAGCACCGGCUAACUACGUGCCAGCAGCCGCGGUAAUACGUAGGGUGCAAGCGUUAAUCGGAAUUACUGGGCGUAAAGCGUGCGCAGGCGGUUUUGUAAGUCUGUCGUGAAAGCCCCGGGCUCAACCUGGGAAUUGCGAUGGAGACUGCAAGGCUUGAAUCUGGCAGAGGGGGGUAGAAUUCCACGUGUAGCAGUGAAAUGCGUAGAGAUGUGGAGGAACACCGAUGGCGAAGGCAGCCCCCUGGGUCAAGAUUGACGCUCAUGCACGAAAGCGUGGGGAGCAAACAGGAUUAGAUACCCUGGUAGUCCACGCCCUAAACGAUGUCUACUAGUUGUCGGGCUUUAAUUAACUUGGUAACGCAGCUAACGCGUGAAGUAGACCG
rnacentral:rRNA from 1 species